rnacentral:rRNA from 1 species
UACGAAGGGGGGCUAGCGUUGCUCGGAAUGACUGGGCGUAAAGGGUCCGUAGGCGGUUUAAUAAGUCAGUGGUGAAAGCCCAUCGCUCAACGGUGGAACGGCCAUUGAUACUGUUAAACUUGAAUUAUUAGGAAGUAACUAGAAUAUGUAGUGUAGCGGUGAAAUGCUUAGAGAUUACAUGGAAUACCAAUUGCGAAGGCAGGUUACUACUAAUGGAUUGACGCUGAUGGACGAAAGCGUGGGUAGCGAACAGG